UACGGAGGGGGCUAGCGUUGUUCGGAAUUACUGGGCGUAAAGCGCACGUAGGCGGCUUUGCAAGUUAGAGGUGAAAGCCCGGGGCUCAACUCCGGAAUUGCCUUUAAGACUGCAUCGCUAGAAUUGUGGAGAGGUAAGUGGAAUUCCGAGUGUAGAGGUGAAAUUCGUAGAUAUUCGGAAGAACACCAGUGGCGAAGGCGACUACUGGACACAUAUUGACGCUGAGGUGCGAAAGCGUGGGGAGCAAACAGG
rnacentral:rRNA from 1 species